AGUGAGUCAUCGAAUCUUUGAACGCACCUUGCACUCUUUGGUAUUCCGAAGAGUAUGUCUGUUUGAGUGUCAUGAAACUCUCAACCCCCUCAUUUUGUAAUGAAGUGAGUCGUGGGCUUGGAUUAUGGCUGUCUGUCGGCUUCAUUGCCGGCUCAGCUGAAAUACACGAGUAACCCAGUUUGAAAAACUGACGGCUUGACUCGGCGUAAUAAUUAUUUCGCUGAGGACGUCUUCUUUAAAGUCAGUGGUGCUUCUAAUGCGUUAUAAUACAUCAUAAGCUUUAGACCUCAAAUCAGUCAGGACUACCCGCUGAACUUAA
rnacentral:rRNA from 1 species